GUAGGCUGCAACUCGCCUACAUGAAGUUGGAGUUGCUAGUAAUCGCGAAUCAGAAUGUCGCGGUGAAUGCGUUCCCGGGUCUUGUACACACCGCCCGUCACACCAUGGGAGUCGGAAAUGCCCGAAGUCAGUGACCCAACCGUAAGGAGGGAGCUGCCGAAGGUGGAGCCGGUAACUGGGGUGAAGUCGUAACAAGGUAGC
rnacentral:rRNA from 1 species